GGAAGAGCAAUAGGAAGUAGGAGGUGCAAAYGACUGAAGGAGAAAGAUUAGGAUGGCUCUAUAAGCUGGAACCAUGCUAGAAGAAGAUGGAUGCAACAUAGACAGCAGGAACGAUCUGAGAAGAUGAAAUGGAAGAAAUUCAGUAAUUCUGGGUUGGAAGAAAGCAAAUAAGACUUGGAGAGCACCAGACAUUAGAUAGCAACAGACAUUACUCCUAAUAGAAGUAUCACCGAAAUGUGAAGCUUCUGGACCUCAUAUUGAAGCUGUCUGCUGGAAAGGACUAGAUUGACAGGGCUGAGAGAAGAAUUGUCACCAUCCUCUGCCAGUAGAGAUGACUAUUUCAAAGUCAUGAAAAGAGAACAGAAGACCUGUCAAAGAAAGUUUGGCUUCUGGUCCAAGAAGACAUUUUUAUUCUUUUUAAACUGACAAGCUGAUCAGCUGUGAGUUUGUAAGGAGCUCCUUAUAAAUGUCUGAAAGCUUCCAAAAAUGUUUUCCCACCCUAGUACUUUUUUAUGCCAGUAAGAUCAGCUGAGACAGAUAAAAUAAGUGACAGAAAUUUAUACUACCCAGAAAGUGUUUAGCUACUGAGAAGUGAUGAUGCAGUGAAUGGUAGCUUAGUUUAUUAUAUUUUUUCCCUAUAGCUUUGCAUUAGAGGGGUUAGCUCUCUUGAUC
rnacentral:lncRNA from 1 species